rnacentral:rRNA from 1 species
CGGCGGACGGGUGAGUAACACGUGGGUAACCUGCCUCAGAGAGGGGAAUAGCCUUCCGAAAGGAAGAUUAAUACCGCAUAAUAUACACAUUUAGCAUUAUGAGUGUAUCAAAGGAGCAAUCCGCUUUGAGAUGGGCCCGCGGCGCAUUAGCUAGUUGGAGAGGUAACGGCUCACCAAGGCGACGAUGCGUAGCCGACCUGAGAGGGUGAUCGGCCACAUUGGAACUGAGACACGGUCCAGACUCCUACGGGAGGCAGCAGUGGGGAAUAUUGCACAAUGGGGGGAACCCUGAUGCAGCAACGCCGCGUGAAUGAUGAAGGCUUUCGGGUCGUAAAGUUCUUUGAUGGGGGAUGACAAUGACAGUACCCCAAAAACAAGCCACGGCUAACUACGUGCCAGCAGCCGCGGUAAUACGUAGGUGGCAAGCGUUGUCCGGAUUUACUGGGCGUAAA